AUGGCCGUUGCAGGAGACACUGGGACGUCCAAAGGCAAAGAUGUAGAUGAUGUUGUCUAUGGAGACUUUGCUCACUGGGCCUCCACUGAUGAAGGUAAUCCGGAAAGAGCAUCUCUUGCUACUAAUGAGAGUGCUCCAGAGUGGGUUCUUGACUCUGGAGCAUCUAAGCAUGUUACGAGUCUUACACUAAGCAUCCUCCCUCUCACACGGGCAUUAUACAAACGGCUGAUGGCACAAAACAACCAAUCAUAG
rnacentral:rRNA from 1 species